rnacentral:lncRNA from 1 species
UUAGAAUGGAUGAAUGUUUGGAUAUUUAAGAGAGGAAAGUGAAAUGAACCAUUUGAAAUCUUUCACCUUGUUUUUAAAACUAUCGAGUAUAGCGAUCGUGAUAAGCGUAUCGCUUAUGUGAUGUUCGACUAUAAUUGAUGCAUCAUUUACACGAUCUGUUUAUCAUGUUCACGAUAUCUGAGGACCUCAGGUGCUGAAUUUUUGCAUUCGC